rnacentral:rRNA from 1 species
CGCUGGCGGCAGGCCUAACACAUGCAAGUCGAACGGACCCUUCGGGGUUAGUGGCGGACGGGUGAGUAACACGUGGGAACGUGCCUUUAGGUUCGGAAUAGCUCCUGGAAACGGGUGGUAAUGCCGAAUGUGCCCUUAGGGGGAAAGAUUUAUCGCCUUUAGAGCGGCCCGCGUCUGAUUAGCUAGUUGGUGAGGUAAUGGCUCACCAAGGCUACGAUCAGUAGCUGGUCUGAGAGGAUGACCAGCCACAUUGGGACUGAGACACGGCCCAAACUCCUACGGGAGGCAGCAGUGGGGAAUCUUGCGCAAUGGGCGAAAGCCUGACGCAGCCAUGCCGCGUGGAUGAUGAAGGUCUUAGGAUUGUAAAAUCCUUUCACCGGUGAAGAUAAUGACUGUAGCCGGAGAAGAAGCCCCGGCUAACUUCGUGCCAGCAGCCGCGGUAAUACGAAGGGGGGCUAGCGUUGCUCGGAAUUACUGGGCGUAAAGGGAGCGUAGGCGGACAUUUAAGUCAGGGGUGAAAUCCCAGAGCUCAACUCUGGAACUGCCUUUGAUACUGGGUGUCUUGAGUGUGAUAGAGGUAUGUGGAACUCCGAGUGUAGAGGUGAAAUUCGUAGAUAUUCGGAAGAAACACCAGUGGCGAAGGCGACAUACUGGAUCC